UGAUAUGGGCACUAGGAAGUUGUUCAAACUCUUAUUCUAUUAAAAUCCAAUAUUCAAGCUAGUUGGAUGGUUGAUUUGUUGGACGAUUGGUGGUGAAUAAAGGCGUAAUUAGUUGGAGAUUGUAUUAGAGGUUUUUUUUAGAAGAUAAAUGAUGGUGUAAUUCGAGAAGAUACAAUUAUUGAUGUAAUGGAUUUUGAUGAAAUAUCAAACAAUGUUUGAUAUUAUGGCAUUAAUCUAGAAUUUAUUAGUGGUUUA